UGCCAGCCGCCGCGGUAAGACGGAGGGGGUUAGCGUCGUUCGGGAUUACUGGGCGUAAAGCGGACGUAGGCGGAUCAGAAAGUAGGGGGUGAAAUCCCAGGGCUCAACCCUGGAACUGCCUCCUAAACUCCUGGUCUUGAGUUCGAGAGAGGUGAGUGGAAUUCCAAGUGUAGAGGUGAAAUUCGUAGAUAUUUGGAGGAACACCAGUGGCGAAGGCGGCUCACUGGCUCGAUACUGACGCUGAGGUGCGAAAGCGUGGGGAGCAAACAGGAUUAGAUA
rnacentral:rRNA from 1 species